rnacentral:rRNA from 1 species
UGCAGUCGAGCGGUAGCACAAGGGAGCUUGCUCCCUGGGUGACGAGCGGCGGACGGGUGAGUAAUGUCUGGGAAACUGCCUGAUGGAGGGGGAUAACUACUGGAAACGGUAGCUAAUACCGCAUAACGUCGCAAGACCAAAGAGGGGGACCUUCGGGCCUCUUGCCAUCAGAUGUGCCCAGAUGGGAUUAGCUAGUAGGUGGGGUAAUGGCUCACCUAGGCGACGAUCCCUAGCUGGUCUGAGAGGAUGACCAGCCACACUGGAACUGAGACACGGUCCAGACUCCUACGGGAGGCAGCAGUGGGGAAUAUUGCACAAUGGGCGCAAGCCUGAUGCAGCCAUGCCGCGUGUGUGAAGAAGGCCUUCGGGUUGUAAAGCACUUUCAGCGAGGAGGAAGGUGGUGAGCUUAAUACGUUCAUCAAUUGACGUUACUCGCAGAAGAAGCACCGGCUAACUCCGUGCCAGCAG